AUUGAACGCUGGCGGCAGGCCUAACACAUGCAAGUCGAACGAGUGGCGGACUGGUGCGUAAUGUCUGGGACACUGCCUGAUGGAGGGGGAUCACGACGGGAAACGGUCGCUACUAGCGCAUAAGGUCGUAUGUGCCCAGAUGGGAGUAGCUAGUCGUGGGGUUAACGGCUCACCUAGGCGACGAUCCCUAGCUGGUCUGCGAGGAUGACCGGCCACACUGGAACUGAGACACGGUCCAGACUCCUACGGGAGGAAGCAGUGGGGAAUAUUGCACAAUGGGCGCAAUCCUGAUGCAGCCAUGCCGCGUGUAUGAAGAAGGCUUUCGGGUUGUAAAGUACUUUCAGCUGGGAGGCGUUAUCCGCAGAAGAAGCACCGGCUAACUCCGUGCCAGCAGCCGCGGUAAUAC
rnacentral:rRNA from 1 species